UCCCUGCCCCACGACCCCGGGGCUGCCCUCCUCUCACUUUCCCUCUCCCUGGGGACCAGAUCAGUGGCGUCUGCGCUGCUCCCCCGGCUGAGUGCCUCCGGCUGUAAACCCCAGAUUCUCCUGGUGGAGUCGGGAAAGGGGAGCGUCAGUGCUGAGGGAGCUUCCGACUCCUCCCUCAGUGUUUCUGCCCCAGACAUCACCAUGGAACAUGUGGGGGUUUGUGCCUGCAGGCCGGGAUGCUGCAGGACUCCCUGGUCCAUCACCGUUAUGUCUUGGAGCUGCUCCAGUCAGUGAAUGACUUUCUGUGCCUUGGAGUACGUUUUGGUUACUGAGACCCUUGAAUUCCCAUAUGAAUUGUAGCAGCAGCUAGUCAGUUUCUGCAGAGGAGCCCGCUGGGAUUGUGAUCGAGACCACGUUGAAUAUACGGAUUGCUUUGGGGAGCACUGCCAUUCCAAGAGCUCUGUCUUCUGAUCCAGGAAUAUGCGUGGUGUGUCUGUCCAGGUGCCCUCACCUCCAGUAGCAUUCAUCCAGACACCAGCACUGACACUGGCCGUGCUCAGAACUGCCUCAGACCUGAAGACAAAACUGACAAAUAGAAGGGGGCUACGCCCUGUUACAGCAGGUGCUCUCACUUUGUGGGUCCUUAUGUAACUGCACGAUGUUAAUCAGGAUCGCCCGUUCUACAUUGUGUAGCGCUGCUGCGGUGUCUCCUAGUUACUUGUUUCUAUUGGAGGGGUCUCCUGAUGUGCGGGUGUCGUCUCUUGUCCACGGACACAUUUGGUGGGAGACUGCUGUGGACAAGACCCUGGACCACGGCGAAACGCCGGAUCCCUCAGCAGCCGCAGCUCGCCGUGAUUUACCGUAAUAUUGUCUUAAUGGUGGACAGUUAAGUUUUCUCCACUUUCCACUGUCAGA